UACGGGGGGGGCAAGCGUUGUUCGGAAUUACUGGGCGUAAAGGGCUCGUAGGCGGCCAACUAAGUCAGACGUGAAAUCCCUCGGCCUAACCGGGGAACUGCGUCUGAUACUGGAUGGCUUGAGUUUGGGAGAGGGAUGCGGAAUUCCAGGUGUAGCGGUGAAAUGCGUAGAGAUCCGGAAGAACACCGGUGGCGAAGGCGGUCUGCUGGGCAGUUGCUGACACUGAUGCGCGACAGCGUGGGGAGCAAACAGG
rnacentral:rRNA from 1 species